UGGGGAAUAUUGGACAAUGGGGGGAACCCUGAUCCAGCAAUGCCGCGUGUGUGAAGAAGGCCUGAGGGUUGUAAAGCACUUUCAGUGGGGAGGAGGUUUGAUUGGUUAAGAGCUGAUUGAAUGGACGUUACCCACAGAAGAAGCACCGGCUAACUCUGUGCCAGCAGCCGCGGUAAUACAGAGGGUGCAAGCGUUAAUCGGAAUUACUGGGCGUAAAGGGUGCGUAGGUUGUUAGAUAAGUUAUCUGUAAAAUCCCCGGGCUUAACCUGGGCAGGUCAGAUAAGACUGUUUGACUCGAGUAUAGGAGAGGGUAGUGGAAUUUCCGGUGUAGCGGUGAAAUGCGUAGAGAUCGGAAGGAACACCAGUGGCGAAGGCGGCUACCUGGCCAAAUACUGACACUGAGGCACGAAAGCGUGGGGAGCAAACAGGAUUAGAUACCCCCGUAGUCC
rnacentral:rRNA from 1 species